rnacentral:rRNA from 1 species
UACAGAGGAUGCAAGCGUUAUCCGGAAUGAUUGGGCGUAAAGCGUCUGUAGGUGGCUUUUUAAGUCCGCCGUCAAAUCCCAGGGCUCAACUCUGGACAGGCGGUGGAAACUACCAAGCUGGAGUACGGUAGGGGCAGAGGGAAUUCCCGGUGUAGUGGUGAAAUGCGUAGAUAUUGGGAGGAACACCAGUGGCGAAGGCGGCUCACUGGACUGGUACUGACGCUGAUGCGCGAAAGCGUGGGGAGCAAACAGG